ensembl:snoRNA
AGCUUGAUGAUGAAUGUCUCUUGUGAUUGCUUGCUGUUUCGGUAAGCAAAGUGAUCCAUCAUUUCACCGACACUGAAAGCU